UACGAAGGGGGCUAGCGUUGUUCGGAAUUACUGGGCGUAAAGCGCACGUAGGCGGAUAUUUAAGUCAGGGGUGAAAUCCCAGAGCUCAACUCUGGAACUGCCUUUGAUACUGGGUAUCUGGAGUAUGGAAGAGGUGAGUGGAAUUCCGAGUGUAGAGGUGAAAUUCGUAGAUAUUCGGAGGAACACCAGUGGCGAAGGCGGCUCACUGGUCCAUUACUGACGCUGAGGUGCGAAAGCGUGGGGAGCAAGCAGG
rnacentral:rRNA from 1 species